UGAUGCAGCCAUGCCGCGUGUAUGAAGAAGGCCUUAGGGUUGUAAAGUACUUUACAGUUGGGAGGAAGGCGUUGAUGCUAAUAUCAUCAACGAUUGACGUUACCAACAGAAGAAGCACCGGCUAACUCCGUGCCAGCAGCCGCGGUAAUACGGAGGGUGCAAGCGUUAAUCGGAAUUACUGGGCGUAAAGCGCACGCAGGCGGUUGAUNAAGUGAGAUGUGAAAUCCCCGGGCUUAACCUGGGAAUGGCAUCUAAGACUGGUCAGCUAGAGUCUUGUAGAGGGGGGUAGAAUNCCAUGUGUAGCGGUGAAAUGCGUAGAGAUGUGGAGGAAUACCGGUGGCGANNGCNGCCCCCUGGACAAAGACUGACGCUCAGGUGCGAACGCGUGGGGAGCAAACAGGGAUNAGAUACCCNGGUAGUCCACGCUGUAAACGAUGUCGAU
rnacentral:rRNA from 1 species